rnacentral:rRNA from 1 species
UGGGGAAUUUUGGACAAUGGGCGAAAGCCUGAUCCAGCAAUGCCGCGUGUGUGAAGAAGGCCUUCGGGUUGUAAAGCACUUUUGUCCGGAAAGAAAUCCUUGGCUCUAAUACAGUCGGGGGAUGACGGUACCGGAAGAAUAAGCACCGGCUAACUACGUGCCAGCAGCCGCGGUAAUACGUAGGGUGCAAGCGUUAAUCGGAAUUACUGGGCGUAAAGCGUGCGCAGGCGGUUUGCUAAGACCGAUGUGAAAUCCCCGGGCUCAACCUGGGAACUGCAUUGGUGACUGGCAGGCUAGAGUAUGGCAGAGGGGGGUAGAAUUCCACGUGUAGCAGUGAAAUGCGUAGAGAUGUGGAGGAAUACCGAUGGCGAAGGCAGCCCCCUGGGCCAAUACUGACGCUCAUGCACGAAAGCGUGGGGAGCAAACAGGAUUAGAUACCCUGGUAGUCCACGCCCUAAAACGAUGUCAACUAGUUGUUGGGGAUUCAUUCCUUAGUAACGUAGCUAACGCGUGAAGUUGACCGCCUGGGGAGUACGGUCGCAAGAUUAAAACUCAAAGGAAUUGACGGGGUCAUAGCUGUUUCCU